rnacentral:rRNA from 1 species
UACGUAUGGGGCAAGCGUUAUCCGGAAUUAUUGGGCGUAAAGAGUGCGUAGGUGGUUACCUAAGCGCAAGGUUUAAUCUUGAGGCUCAACCUCAUUCUGCCUUGCGAACUGGGCUACUUGAGUGCAGGAGGGGAAAGCGGAAUUCCUAGUGUAGCGGUGAAAUGCGUAGAUAUUAGGAAGAACACCGGUGGCGAAGGCGGCUUUCUGGACUGUAACUGACACUGAGGCACGAAAGCGUGGGUAGCAAACAGGAUUAGAUACCCCCGUACGUCCU